rnacentral:rRNA from 1 species
UUAAGCUACUAAGAGCACAGGGUGAAUGCCUUGGCACCAAGAGCCGAUGAAGGACGUGAUAAGCUGCGAAAAGCUGUGAGGAGGAGCAAAUAUCCAUUAUAUUCACAGAUAUCCGAAUGAGGAAACUCUAGUUAGGAAAAAAGCUAACUAAUCCAUACAUGAGUAAAGUAGUGUAUGUGAGGGGAACGUAGGGAACUGAAACAUCUAAGUACCUACAGGAAAAGAAAGAAAACUCGAUUCCUUGAGUAGUGGCGAGCGAAAGAGGAAGAGCCUAAACCAAGAGAAGUAAUUUUCUUGGGGUUAUGGACUACAUAAUUGAUUCAAUAGAUUUAGCAGAACUGUUUGGAAAAGCAGACCAAAGAUAGUGAAAGUCUAGUAAGCGAAAAAUCGAAAGACAUGGUAGUAUCCAGAGUAGUGCGAGACACGGGAAAUCUCGUAUGAAAAAGUGGGGACCACCCCAUAAGGCUAAAUACUACUUGGUGACCGAUAGUGAAACAGUACCGUGAGGGAAAGGUGAAAAGAACCCCGGGAGGGGAGUGAAAGAGAACCUGAAACCCUGUGUUUACAAGCAGACAAAGCACGUUAAGGUGCGAUGUCGUACUUUUUGUAGAACGGUCCGGCGAGUUAUUUUAUAUGGCAAGGUUAAGUACUAUUAAGGUACGAAGCCGAAGCGAGAGCGAGUCUGAAAAGGGCGAGUAAGUCAUAUGAAAUAGACCCGAAACCGAGUGACCUAUCCAUGGUCAGGAUGAAGCUUGAGUAAAAUCAAGUGGAGGUCCGAACCCAUAAGCGUUAAAAAGCUUCGGGAUGAACUGUGGAUAGCGGAGAAAUUCCAAUCGAACUCGGAGAUAGCUGGUUCUCCUCGAAAUAGUUUUAGGACUAGCCUUGUUUAGUAGUAUGUGGGGGUAGAGCACUGAAUGAGCUAGGGGCCAAACCAGGUUACUGAACUCUAUCAAACUCCGAAUACCAUGUACGUAAGAACAGGAGUCAGACUGCGGGAGCUAAGUUCCGUGGUCAAAAGGGAAAGAGCCCAGAUCGUCAAUUAAGGUCCCAAAGAUAUAGUUAAGUGGAAAACGAUGUGAUUUUGCGUAAACAACCAGGAUGUUGGCUUAGAAGCAGCCAUUCAUUUAAAGAGUGCGUAAUAGCUCACUGGUCGAGUGGAGUUGCGCGGAAAAUUACCGGGGCUAAACUAUACACCGAAAUUGCGGAUUCAUGAGUAAUCAUGAGUGGUAGAGGAGCAUUCUAUAGUAGGACGAAGGUAGAUCGAAAGGACUGCUGGACGAGAUAGAAGAGAGAAUGCCGGAAUAAGUAGCGAAAGCAUGGUGAGAAUCCAUGCCAUCGAAAGUCUAAGGUUUCCUGGGGAAGGUUCGUCCGCCCAGGGUAAGUCGGGACCUAAGGAGAGGCCGAAAGGCGUAUCUGAUGGACAGCAGGUAGAAAUUCCUGCACCACCGAUAUACUUAAAAAAUGCAAGGGACACAGUAGUGGAAGGAAAGCGAGGAAGAGGAAAGACUCGUAUCGAAAGAUAUAGUGAAAAAAUAAGUAACGAAUUUCCAAGAAGCACACUGGCGAGAAAAGCUUGUAGGAAUUGUAUAAAGGUGCCCGUACCGCAAACCGACACAGGUAGAUGAGGAGAGGAUCCUAAGAUGAGCGAGAGAAGCAUUGUUAAGGAACUCGGCAAAUUGACCCCGUAACUUAGGGAGAAGGGGUGCCAAAGUAAAAUUUGGUCGCAGAGAAGAGGCCCAAGCAACUGUUUAACAAAAACACAGGUUUCUGCUAAAUCGAAAGAUGAAGUAUAGGAGCUGACGCCUGCCCAGUGCUGGAAGGUUAAGGGGAAGAGUUAGAUGUAAGUCGAAGCUUAGAACCAAAGCCCCAGUGAACGGCGGCCGUAACUAUAACGGUCCUAAGGUAGCGAAAUUCCUUGUCAGGUAAGUUCUGACCCGC